CGCAAUGGGCGAAAGCCUGACGCAGCAACGCCGCGUGCGGGAUGAAGGCCCUCGGGUUGUAAACCGCUUUCAGUGGGGACGAACCAAGACGGUACCCACAGAAGAAGGUCCGGCCAACUACGUGCCAGCAGCCGCGGUAACACGUAGGGACCAAGCGUUGUCCGGAUUCAUUGGGCGUAAAGAGCUCGUAGGCGGCUCAGUAAGUCGGGUGUGAAACCUCCAGGCUCAACCUGGAGACGCCACCCGAUACUGCUGUGGCUAGAGUCCAGUAGGGGAGCGUGGAAUUCCUGGUGUAGCGGUGAAAUGCGCAGAUAUCAGGAGGAACACCAGCGGCGAAGGCGGCGCUCUGGGCUGGAACUGACGCUGAGGAGCGAAAGCGUGGGGAGCGAACAGGAUUAGAUACCCUGGUAGUCCACGCCGUAAACGUUGGGUACUAGGUGUGGGGUCUUAUCAACGGAUUCCGUGCCGAAGCUAACGCAUUAAGUACCCCGCCUGGGGAGUACGGCCGCAAGGCUA
rnacentral:rRNA from 1 species